GAUCAUGGCUCAGGAUGAACGCUAGCUACAGGCUUAACACAUGCAAGUCGAGGGGCAGCAUGACGAUAGCUUGCUAUUGUUGAUGGCGACCGGCGCACGGGUGAGUAACGCGUAUCCAACCUUCCCAUAGCUAGGGAAUAACCUUGAGAAAGUAAGACUAAUGCCCUAUGACAUUCUUUGCAGACAUCUAAAGAGAAUUAAAGAUUUAUCGGCUAUGGAUGGGGA
rnacentral:rRNA from 1 species